GUCUGCGGCCACGCCACCCCGAACAAGCCCGACGUCUGAUCUGGGAAGCUAAGCGGGGUCGGGCCCGGUUAGUACUUGGAUGGGAGACCACCUAAGAAGACCAGGUGCCAUAGGCA
rnacentral:rRNA from 1 species